GCUGCGGUCGAGCCAGCAGGUGGUCCUGCCCCCGAGCGGCGGAGGGCGACACUACAACCUCGCCUACGUUUCUGCAGGGCAGCCCCGCCGCUGUUGAUGCCGGGUUGGCUACAGAACACUCAAAAAUUGCAAAGAGAAAUAUUGUGUUCUGGAAAUUCUUCCGAGCAUUUUUUUCCAAUAUCGUCCUUAUGCUCUUCUGAUCCUCUCUUGAACUGUUGGACUAAAGCAGCUGACGCUUCCACCAGCAACCAGAGUCACCCUGUCCACUACUGUGGGAACAGAGGGUUUCCAUUUGGAACUGCAGACCGAGCCUAAAGUCUGGUGGCCCUUUGGUGCCAGGAUAGCAGAAAUGAUUCUACCAAUGCCAGCGGCAUGCACCAGAAACCAGGAAGGAAUCAUACAGCUGAGCCAAACUGCUGUACUUUAAAACACUUGACCACAAUUCUCCAGUGGAUACUCAACCCUGGCUUCAAAUUCCCUUGUCUCUCUGGUGAGUUUGCUUUCCCUCUAAUGGAUGACCGUUUCACACCUUCAAGACUUGCCUCA